rnacentral:snoRNA from 1 species
UGCAAAAAAUAAAUCCUCUUUUGCAAUCCAGAACUCAUUGUUCAGUAUGAAUUCUGAUAUAUAUAUAUAUAUAUAUA